GGUCAACAGUCACCCACGGCUAGCCACACACUAAACAUGAGGACCGCCAACGUUGCCAAGGUACUCCUGGUUGUGCUCCUCGGUCUGCUGGCAACUGUGGGGGCCACGUUCUUCCCGAAGAAGACGAAGGUGGUGGUAAAAGAAGUGUUCCUACCACCGCCCCCACCUGCGUGGCCACCGAAGAUCAUCGAGAUUAUAGAGGUGCCGGCGCCCGUGAAGGCUCUGCCCUGGUGGUGAACGUCAGAACUGCACAGGCCGUGCACCCCUUGUUAUGUAUACAGACUGUUGUUAAUAAAAUGCUUUAAAAACUUA